GAUGCAUGUGGCUUUGUAAGUCAGGUGUGAAAUCCCAGGGCUCAACCCUGGAAGUGCAUUUGAUACUGCGAAGCUUGAGUGCUGGAGAGGUAAGUAGAAUACCUGGUGUAGUGGUGAAAUACGUAGAUAUCAGGUGGAACACCGGAGGCGAAGGCGGCUUACUGGCCAGACACUGACACUCAGAUCCGAAAGCGUGGGGAUCAAACA
rnacentral:rRNA from 1 species